rnacentral:rRNA from 1 species
CCUACGGGGGGCAGCAGUGAGGAAUAUUGGUCAAUGGUCGGGAGACUGAACCAGCCAAGCCGCGUGAGGGAUGAAGGUACAGAGUAUCGUAAACCUCUUUUGUCAGGGAACAAAGGCGGGGACGUGUCCCCGGAUGAGUGUACCUGAAGACAACGCAUCGGCUAACUCCGUGCCAGCAGCCGCGGUAAUACGGAGGCUGCUAGCGUUAUCCGGAUUUAUUGGGUUUAAAGGGUGCGCAGGCGGUCUGUUAAGUCAGCGGUAAAAGCCCGGGGCACAACCCCGGCCCGCCGUUGAAACUGGCAGUCGCGAGUUGGAGAGAAGUAUGCGGAAUGCGCGGUGUAGCGGUGAAAUGCAUAGAUAUCGCGCAGAACUCCGAUUGCGAAGGCAGCAUGCCGGCUCCACACUGACGCUGAGGCACGAAAGCGUGGGUAUCGAACAGGAUUAGAUACCCCGGUAGUC